UACGGGGGGGGCAAGCGUUGUUCGGAAUUACUGGGCGUAAAGGGCUCGUAGGCGGCCAACUAAGUCAGACGUGAAAUCCCUCGGCUUAACCGGGGAACUGCGUCUGAUACUGGAUGGCUUGAGAUUGGGAGAGGGAUGCGGAAUUCCAGGUGUAGCGGUGAAAUGCGUAGAUAUCGGGAGGAACACCUGUGGCGAAAGCGGCGCACUGGACCACAACUGACGCUGAGGCGCGAAAGCUAGGGGAGCAAACAGG
rnacentral:rRNA from 1 species